AACGAACGCUGGCGGCAUGCCUAACACAUGCAAGUCGAACGAGACCUUCGGGUCUAGUGGCGCACGGGUGCGUAACGCGUGGGAACCUGCCCUUAGGUUCGGAAUAACUCCCCGAAAGGGGUGCUAAUACCGGAUAAUGUCUUCGGACCAAAGAUUUAUCGCCUUUGGAUGGGCCCGCGUUGGAUUAGCUAGUUGGUAGGGUAAAAGCCUACCAAGGCGACGAUCCAUAGCUGGUCUGAGAGGAUGAUCAGCCACACUGGGACUGAGACACGGCCCAGACCCCUAGGGGAGGGAGAGGGGGGGAAAAUGGGAAAAAGGGCGAAAGCCGGAUCCAGCAAGGCCGGGUGGGGAAAGAAGGGUUUGGGGUUGUAAAGCUCUUUUACCCGGGAUGAAAAUGAAAGACCCGGGGGAAAAAGCCCCGGCUAAAUCCGG
rnacentral:rRNA from 1 species